AUACAAUACGAAAAUAUUAGGUGGUAACCAGUUCGUGGACGAUUUCAGCUGAUGGGACUACUCUGGAAAUGAAAAAUACCAAGAGAGACAUGGUCAUCAGUGCUGUUCUGGGUACAUCUUUAACCGAACUUCACAGAAGUGUAAAAAAAAGAACCUUUAAGAUCAAUGCUAGGAGAGGAAGAUACUUCUAGUUAUACAAAGUCCACCAGUACUUUAUUUGAAUCUUUGUCGAAAAGUAAAGUAAAUGGUGAGCAUGACUAGAAGAACACCUCGACUGAUUCAGCUGAGGAAACCCUACCUUCUUCCGUGCAUCCAUUGUAUGAAUCCAUCAAUGAAGAUUUUAUCGCACCUUCCAUUCAGUGCGAUCAGUUGAAUCAGACCAAUGCUGACUGAAUAAGUAAUGCGGUUGAUAAAAAUAAAUGUGUUUUUAACAGUGUAUGGAUAUCUUUAUUCUAUAGACAUGUACAUAUGUUGGUCCUCCUUCUGGAAAAAUUUGAAAGGCUAUUUUAAUGGAAUACUAUCUGUCCGCCUUAUCGUAUCAAAAAUAUCUGUAGUUCUUGACACUCAUGCCCUCAAACUUCAAAUAUCAUUAUAUGAAAGUGAUUUUACCCUUGAUGGAAUAUAAUGACAUUAUGCAAGAAGCGUUACAAUCCCUACUCUUUUUUAACUGUCAAAGAUACAUACAAACUAUCUUCCUAUAAGAAUUUUAGACAAAAGCGUUAUUUAACAUGCUUGUAACCCCUAGUAUAUCUAGGUGUCCGUCUUUCCUCUUGUGUUUUGCAUUUCUUAAAGGCGUUAUGAGAUUGAUCGCUAUUCGUUAUCUUCUCUUCUCAUGCAUCUGAAAUGUACGAAUUCAAUGAUGUUUAAUGAUGUUUCAUGUUUCUGACAUUUGAUGAUUGUUACCUUCGGAAGACUGCACGUAAAUAUAUUGGAUUAACUUGAGUAUCAUUUUUGGCAGG